rnacentral:rRNA from 1 species
UACAGAGGGGGCAAGCGUUGUUCGGAAUUACUGGGCGUAAAGGGCGCGUAGGCGGCCUUCUAAGUCGAACGUGAAAUCCCCGGGCUCAACCCGGGAACUGCGUCCGAUACUGGAAGGCUUGAAUCCGGGAGAGGGAUGUGGAAUUCCAGGUGUAGCGGUGAAAUGCGCAGAUAUCAGGAGGAACACCGGUGGCGAAGGCGGUUCUCUGGGCAUGAUCUGACGCUGAGGAGCGAAAGUGUGGGGAGCGAACAGG